AAUCACUGAGUGAAGAGCAAAACAUUACUUCAGAAUGCUGUGUGGCUGCCUGUGUGUAUACCUUAUUGUAUGUAUUCUCUAUUGUCUCAAACACAGGUACCCAGUAGUAACAAUUUGGUCUGUGCUGGUGAGGAUACACAGGAGCACCUUCAGGUGUCAGAGUCAGAAAAUGCAGCAAACUCAAUUUAAGUUAGAGCCAACCUUCACUCUGUGCUUUCUCGCCACAUUAUGCAAACAUCAACUUUCAAAGCUGUUCUGUCAAAGCUGCUGGUGAGGUACUCAAACCCAGCUCCUCAGCCUGUGAAUGUUCUACUGUGGAGUUCAGCAAAUGUUCAACCAGCCCGACUUGCCUUUCUAUCAGCUAAAACAACAAAGAGGAAUGUUUUUCUGAUUACUGCGCAUUGCCAAAAAAUGAGGUUUAAAGUUAACACAGCCAAACAAGAAAUACUUUUUAUUCUCAGAGUUCAUAACAGAGUUGGGCAAAAAUAAAUAUCAUUUUUAAAAAUACUGCCCUUUGUUCCUAGAAUAGUCUGUAGAACAAAAUAAAACUGUUAGAACUUGUUACUGUGACUUAAUAUACUUAAUAGUUUAAGUCAAUUUAAAGGAUCAACAAAAUAGAUAUGAGACAACGAGAUUACUCUUAAAAUUGAUUUGAAAUUCAUUGUUUUGUGGUUGGGUAUGGGCUGGUUGUAUUCACUCACACAUGUACUGUUUAGCAGCUGUAUUUGUGUGACAGCUGAUUUUUGUAAUUGUUACAAUUUCUCCUCCUCUCUUGGGCACAUAAAAUGUUACUAAAUAAGGAGAAAUAAAAAACACAAAGAAUUUAACACCCUGCUUCUGGCUUGAUAAGCAAAAGAAAUUCCAUAGAAAUUCCUCGAACACGUUUUAAGACCAGAGGAGACGUUUUAGAGCGGUGGCCCCCAGGUUGUGGAAUGCGCUCCCUCCAUCAUUACGUUGCCUUGAUUGUAUUUAUUCUUUUAAAAAGCAGCUUAAGACUCAUUUGUGCUGAACGUUUGACUGUGCUGUUUUUAUGUAUAUCUGUUUUUAUAUUACUGCGAAGCACUUUGUGGUU
ensembl:lncRNA